AGAGUUUGAUCCUGGCUCAGGAUGAACGCUAGCGAUAGGCUUAACACAUGCAAGUCGAGGGGCAGCAUGGUCUUAGCUUGCUAAGACUGAUGGCGACCGGCGCACGGGUGCGUAACGCGUAUGCAACUUGCCUCACAGAGGGGGAUAACCCGUCGAAAGACGGACUAAUACCGCGUACACUCCACUUUGGGCAUCCAAUGUAGAGGAAAUGAAAUUCGCUGUGAGAUAGGCAUGCGUCCCAUUAGCUAGUUGGUGAGGUAACGGCUCACCAAGGCGACGAUGGGUAGGGGAACUGAGAGGUUGAACCCCCACACUGGUACUGAGACACGGACCAGACUCCUACGGGAGGCAGCAGUGAGGAAUAUUGGUCAAUGGGCGAGAGCCUGAACCAGCCAAGUCGCGUGAAGGAUGACUGUCUUAUGGAUUGUAAACUUCUUUUAUACGGGAAUAACAAGAGUCACGUGUGGCUCCCUGCAUGUACCGUAUGAAUAAGCAUCGGCUAACUCCGUGCCAGCAGCCGCGGUAAUACGGAGGAUGCGAGCGUUAUCCGGAUUUAUUGGGUUUAAAGGGUGCGUAGGCGGCCUGUUAAGUCAGCGGUGAAAUCUAGGAGCUUAACUCCUAAAUUGCCAUUGAUACUGGCGGGCUUGAGUGUAGAUGAGGUAGGCGGAAUGCGUGGUGUAGCGGUGGAAUGCAUAGAUAUCACGCAGAACUCCGAUUGCGAAGGCAGCUUACUAAGGUACAACUGACGCUGAAGCACGAAAGCGUGGGUAUCAAACAGGAUUAGAUACCCUGGUAGUCCACGCAGUAAACGAUGAUAACUGGGCGUAUGCGAUAUACAGUAUGCUCCUAAGCGAAAGCGUUAAGUUAUCCACCUGGGGAGUACGCCGGCAACGGUGAAACUCAAAGGAAUUGACGGGGGCCCGCACAAGCGGAGGAACAUGUGGUUUAAUUCGAUGAUACGCGAGGAACCUUACCCGGGAUUGAAAUGUAGA
rnacentral:rRNA from 1 species